GGAAAUUAGACACUAUAUGAAGCCACUCUGCAGGCUUCCUUACCUCCUCGUGAUUUUUUUUGAGAUCUCCUAUGACUGAGAAGUAUCUGCUAUAGUCAUGAUCGUGUCCCCGGGAAGAGCCAGGCUCACAUUUCUCGUACCAGCCCUUGAUCUUCUGCUCCAGAGAGGAGGCUGUGCUCAUUGCCAAGAAAACUAGCACAGGCACCACUUCCCAACCCUCCACCGCUAUUGCAGCAGCUUCCUCCAGAAGAGAUGCCCCCAAGAGUACAAGAAAAGCUGCUUCCUGCUCCUGAUCCAACACACACAUUCCCAGCCACGAAGCCUGUUCCUCCACCGGACAGCUUACCAGACCCAGUUCGCGAGCAGAUCCGCCUGGAUCCACCAGAAAGUCGAAAAGACAUGGUGGCAGCACAGCCGGGCAACCCCUUCCCAGAAAGAGGAGCAAAACCAGGGUUCACCUUCCACACUCGUUAGCUCCCUUGGCCUUUUAUAGGAUUCACUGGGUCAUUUCAGUCUUGACUAUGCCAGUCUGUAAUAAAAUUUACUUGCAUCUUAA